GCGGACGUGGCGGAAUUGGUAGACGCAACGGACUUAAAAUCCGUAGAGGGGAAACCCUCGUGCCGGUUCGACCCCGGCCGCCCGCA
rnacentral:tRNA from 1 species